rnacentral:rRNA from 1 species
GACGAACGCUGGCGGCGUGCUUAACACAUGCAAGUUGAACGGGUCAUAUAUGAAGGGUAACCGGAGUGUAUGGCUAGUGGCGAACGGGUGAGUAAUGCAUGAGAACGUAUCCUCAAGAGGGGGACAACAUUGGGAAACCGAUGCUAAUACCCCAUAAGCCGGGAGGUAAAAGGAGCAAUCCGCUUGAGGAGCGGCUCAUGUCCUAUCAGCUGGUUGGUGAGGUAACGGCUCACCAAGGCGAAGACGGGUAGCCGGCCUGAGAGGGUGAACAGCCACACUGGAACUGAGAGACGGUCCAGACUCCUACGGGAGGCAGCAGUGGGGAAUAUUGGGCAAUGGGGGAAACCCUGACCCAGCGACGCCGCGUGAGGGAAGAAGGCCUUAGGGUCGUAAACCUCUGUUGUGUGGGAAGAAGAGCGUGACGGUACCACACGAGGAAGUCCCGGCUAACUACGUGCCAGCAGCCGCGGUAA